rnacentral:rRNA from 1 species
UGGGGAAUCUUGGACAAUGGGGGCAACCCUGAUCCAGCCAUGCCGCGUGAGUGAUGAAGGCCUUAGGGUCGUAAAGCUCUUUCGCCUGUGAAGAUAAUGACGGUAGCAGGUAAAGAAACCCCGGCUAACUCCGUGCCAGCAGCCGCGGUAAUACGGAGGGGGUUAGCGUUGUUCGGAAUUACUGGGCGUAAAGCGCACGUAGGCGGACCAGAAAGUUGGGGGUGAAAUCCCGGGGGCUCAACCCCGGAACUGCCUCCAAAACUAUUGGUCUAGAGUUCGAGAGAGGUGAGUGGAAUUCCAAGUGUAGAGGUGAAAUUCGUAGAUAUUUGGAGGAACACCAGUGGCGAAGGCGGCUCACUGGCUCGAUACUGACGCUGAGGUGCGAAAGUGUGGGGAGCAAAACAGGAUUAGAUACCCUGGUAGUCCACACCGUAAAACGAUGAAUGCCAGUCGUCGGGUAGCAUGCUAUUCGGUGACACACCUAACGGAUUAAGCAUCGCU